rnacentral:rRNA from 1 species
UGGGGAAUCUUGGACAAUGGGGGCAACCCUGAUCCAGUCAUGCCGCGUGAGUGAUGAAGGCCUUAGGGUCGUAAAGCUCUUUCGCCUGUGAAGAUAAUGACGGUAGCAGGUAAAGAAACCCCGGCUAACUCCGUGCCAGCAGCCGCGGUAAUACGGAGGGGGUUAGCGUUGUUCGGAAUUACUGGGCGUAAAGCGCACGUAGGCGGACCAGAAAGUUGGGGGUGAAAUCCCGGGGGCUCAACCCCGGAACUGCCUCCAAAACUAUUGGUCUAGAGUUCGAGAGAGGUGAGUGGAAUUCCAAGUGUAGAGGUGAAAUUCGUAGAUAUUUGGAGGAACACCAGUGGCGAAGGCGGCUCACUGGCUCGAUACUGACGCUGAGGUGCGAAAGUGUGGGGAGCAAACAGGAUUAGAUACCCUGGUAGUCCACACCGUAAAACGAUGAAUGCCAGUCGUCGGGUAGCAUGCUAUUCGGUGACACACCUAACGGAUUAAGCAUUCCGGCCUGGGGAGUACGGUCGCAAGAUUAAAA